AUUGUUGGUGAGUGUUGAGUAUGUGAGGAGGUCGACGUGGUGAGGCUGGCGGCUGUCUUGGUCUCACUCCACGGCGGCAGCGGCAGAGUCAUGGCUGAUCUCCGCGUAUCUCUGCCAUCCUGCCUCCAUCACCCUCCUCCUUCAUCGCCUCCACCGGUUCCAUAUUGGAAAAUGAAGUGGUUUGGGUGUGAUGAACUUCUGUCGUCUACAAGCAUGUUGCCUAUGGAAUGAAUUGGAUAAGAAAAUCUUGUACUGCUGUUAACUGUUAACCUCAAGGCCUGUUUUGAAAGCAACACUGCUGCAACUUUGAUGCCUAGUGGAAGAAAUGGAUGGAUUAUCUCUGAAGUUUGUACAAGAGCUCGCAUAAUUAUGCAGAUGUCUUGAAAGUUCCUACAAUAUCGUAUUGGCACGACUUGAAAAUGAUUCUUGGCUUGAUUGAUGUAGUUAAACGUCUUUGAUCUAAGAAUCUGUGGCCUGUACAUGGAGCUUGUUCAGCUUAGUUUUUGAUUGCACUGGAAACAUUGCCUGCUGCAGGAGGCUAUCUGACACAUACUAAUGAUUGUAAAAGAUACAUUGCCUGCUGUAGGAGGCUUCCUCUGAAAUAUUUUAAUGGUUGUUCUUGGUGAAUCCUGUGGGAUGCUUGUUUGAAGGGUUGCAGAGUUUCAAGGAUGAGUCGUUUUACACACUGACAUGGUGUUAUCACCAGAUGUAGUAUGGAGCACCACUAUUUAAUCAGGAUUGCAAUGUGACAGCCUGAAAUUUCAAGCGGAGCAGCGUGUCCGAAAGGCAGAGAUUACCCGCACGCCGAAGAAUUGGCACAGUCGAAUGGUGUGCUUGGAUAAGAAGAUACCUAGAUACCUUCCGUCGACGGCUACUUUUAAGGCUUUGGGAAGGUCAAAAUUACUGCCUUGUUUUAACUUUCAAUAAACUGUAAAACGUC
rnacentral:lncRNA from 1 species